rnacentral:rRNA from 1 species
AAGUCGUAACAAGGUUUCCGUAGGUGAACCUGCGGAAGGAUCAUUAUUGAAUAUAAACUUGGAUAGACUGCUGCUGGCUUCUCUUUGAGGGGCAUGUGCACGUUUGUCCUCUUUAUUUUUCCACCUGUGCACCUUUUGUAGGCUUGGAUUAUCACUGGUUCUAUAAUGUGUCUUUCAAAGGCAUAAGAAUUGUUUUGGGGCUGCUGUGUUUAAACGCAUGUUUAUCAGCUUUCCCUUUUAUUUUCCAAGUCUAUGUUUGCUAUAUACACUCCAGAAAUGUAAUAGAAUGCUGUACUUUAGGUCAUUUGUACCUAUAAUAAAAAUCAGUACAACUUUCAGCAACGGAUCUCUUGGCUCUCGCAUCGAUGAAGAACGCAGCGAAAUGCGAUAAGUAAUGUGAAUUGCAGAAUUCAGUGAAUCAUCGAAUCUUUGAACGCACCUUGCGCCCUUUGGCUAUUCUGAAGGGCAUGCCUGUUUGAGUAUCAUGAACACCUCAACUCUCGUGGUCCGCCGCGAUGAGCUUGGACUUUGGGGGUCUUGCUGGCCUAGCGUCGGCUCCUCUCAAAUGGAUCAGCUUGCCAGUGUUUGGUGGCGUCACAGGUGUGAUAACUAUCUACGCUUGUGGUUUUCUGCCAUGUAACCUUCAGUGAUGAAGGUUCGCUGGGGCUCACAGAUGUCUCUCCUUGGGGAGGACAGCCUUUUGAACGUUUGAUCUCAAAUCAGGUAGGACUACCCGCUGAACUUAAGCAUAUCAAUAAGCGGAGGAAAAGAAACUAACAAGGAUUCCCCUAGUAACUGCGAGUGAAGCGGGAAGAGCUCAAAUUUAAAAUCUGGCGUGCCUCUGGCCGUCCGAGUUGUAGUCUGGAGAAGCGUUUUCCGUGUUGGACCGUGUACAAGUCUCUUGGAACAGGGCGUCAUAGAGGGUGAGAAUCCCGUCUUUGACACGGACUACCUAUGCUUUGUGAUGCGCUCUCAAAGAGUCGAGUUGUUUGGGAAUGCAGCUCAAAAUGGGUGGUAAAUUCCAUCUAAAGCUAAAUAUAGGCGAGAGACCGAUAGCGAACAAGUACCGUGAGGGAAAGAUGAAAAGCACUUUGGAAAGAGAGUUAAACAGUACGUGAAAUUGCUGAAAGGGAAACGCUUGAAGUCAGUCACGUCUGCCAGGACUCAGCCUCGCUUCUGCUUGGUGUACUUUCUGGUUUGAUGGGCCAACAUCAAUUUUGACCGUUGGAGAAAGGCCUUGGGAAUGUGGCACCUUCGGGUGUGUUAUAGCCCUUUGCUGUAUACAACGGUUGGGAUUGAGGACUGCAGCACGCCUUCAUGGCCGGGGUUCGCCCACGUACGUGCUUAGGAUGUUGGCAUAAUGGCUUUAAGCGACC